rfam:Oryza glumipatula chromosome 10, whole genome shotgun sequence.
AAAAAGACAAACCCUGGAUUUCAGUGUCCAACGUUUGAUCUUAUAUGAAAUUUUUUUAUAAUUAGUAUUUUCAUUGUUAUUAGAUGAUAAAACAUGAUUAAUACUUUAUGCGUGACUUAUCGUUUUAAUUUUUUUCAAAUAAGACAUACGGUCAAACGUUGGACACAGAAACUAAGAGUUUUUCUUUUU